UCAAGAUGGUCACGCAUUUUAUUCACCACAAACGGUAGGUAAUAAAAGUCUGUGACUAUAAGCUAUUCAGCUUUUAUGAAAAGAUAUCGAAGAAUGGAGCAAAUAUUCUAGAAAUUGUGAGAAUGCAAUAUCUUCGCAGAAAUGUGGCCGAGGGUUAUUUAAAUUCAUUUUAAUAUCACUGUUGCAUAUUUCAUGUCAUUACAAGGGAUUGUAUGUUAUUGACAACCUUUACUCAGUUCUAGUAAAAUCCAACACAAAAUUUUAAAUACAGUCUAAUUUGUUGCCGUCUACUAUUAUUGUUGAGACUUUUGGGGAAAUAUUACGCACAUUUCUUGAAGGCCUGUAAGUCGUAUCAGUUAGGAACCUCUACCGGCAAUUCGUACAAGAGGUGGUGCUUAAAAGAAAGCGCCUUAAAAAUCGCUGUGUUGUCCAGGCAGAAGAAAAAAAUUCGCAUUACGCUUCGACGUCCGUUGAUGAAAUUCAGCCGCAAGUAUUUAUCCAAAAGUUUCUUCAGAGCAGUGUCAUUCAGCAUUUAACAAUUUAUGAUAUCAAGUCAACAUCGCAUCGUUAAAAAAUAUCUUGUACACAGGGGCGAAGCUGGUCCGGCCACUCUAGAUAUACAAUAAUAUGUAAUAUCCUGUGGGAACGAACAGGGAAUUAACCCCGACAUAAUGUUCCAAGACUUGGCAGGAUCUAGACGUUUCUAGGCGCCGUGAUAAAGAACUGGGCCUCGUGGAGAAACUUUUUGGUAAUUUGAUUUAUGUAAUGUAGACGUUACCUAAACGUGUUUAUAUAAUUACAUUGUUUUAACUUAGAAAUCUUUGUAUUGUGUGAUGAAUAAAGAUACAUGCUUUUGUUAAAACUGAAUAAAUGUAUAACCGUGUG